rnacentral:rRNA from 1 species
AUUGAACGCUGGCGGCAUGCUUUACACAUGCAAGUCGAACGGUAACAGGCCUUCGGGCGCUGACGAGUGGCGAACGGGUGAGUAAUGCAUCGGAACGUGCCCAGUCGUGGGGGAUAACGCAGCGAAAGCUGUGCUAAUACCGCAUACGAUCUGCGGAUGAAAGCGGGGGACCUUCGGGCCUCGCGCGAUUGGAGCGGCCGAUGUCAGAUUAGGUAGUUGGUGGGGUAAAGGCUCACCAAGCCAACGAUCUGUAGCUGGUCUGGGAGGACGACCAGCCACACUGGGACGGGGACACGGCCCAGACUCCUACGGGAGGCAGCAGUGGGGAAUUUUGGACAAUGGGCGCAAGCCUGAUCCAGCAAUGCCGCGGGCAGGAAGAAGGCCUUCGGGUUGUAAACUGCUUUUGUACGGAGCGAAAAGGCUCCCUCUAAUACAGGGGGCUCAUGACGGUACCGUAAGAAUAAGCACCGGCUAACUACGUGCCAGCCGCCGCGGUAAUAC